CUGUUCCUGUCUUGCUUCACCAACUCAACAUGACUGAAGAAUGGACACUGAUUGCACCUUCAGCAGCUACCACCUGAGCUCGUUAACCAGAGGGUUACUAAUUAGUUCAUAUAAAAACAGGUGGAGCAAUGAAACAUGCAAAAUCAAAUGCACUGACAAGAUACCUCUGAAAAGAAUGAUAUAAUAUAUCCAGCAAGAAACCGAUCCUGAUCCACUGCAGUUCUCAAAAACCUGGAGGUGAUCAGGUUGAGUCUCUUCUCUGCCAUGUCGAGGGAGGAAGCGGGCAUCGCUGCAGCCUCAGGAACCCAGGUGCCAUCUGAGAAAGAAAAUACUGAACAUUAUACAACAGUCUUGUGUGCCAACUCCAUGACAUGAGAUUUAACAUGACAUGAUUGGCCAACUGUAGCAUCAAGCUGAUGAACUUGGGGCCUCCGGGUGAGAGGAACAACGAUGCCACCACUUUGGAUCCUGCGUUAGCAGUUUCAUCCUAUACACAAUUAGAAACAGUCAUUAAAUUAUGAGUGCGAGGGACUGAACUGCACCAGUGGAAUACAAUAAUGUUUUCUUACAGUUUAGACAGUUGAUGUGUUAGGAGAGAGUGGAAUGACAUGCAAAGUGACCGCAACAGGAGGUGAGGACACUGGGCAGCAGACAUGGAUAACAGGAAAGCCAGAAGGAAUGAAGAAAAAUUAGAGAUGACCAAUGCUUGAUUUGUAGGGCUGAUGUCAAGAAAUCUAUUAGGGAGUACGCCCCUAUUUCUUUAACUAUUCUUCAAUGUUGUUACCACACACUUAAGGCAAACAUUUGUUAGUGAGGCAGGACAUUUUACGGUUUAACAUUACACUUUAUUGUCCUAAAUGAUAUUGGUGCACUGAAACAAUAAACCGCACAGGGAAUUCAAUGAUAA